UGAGGGAUCGUCUAAAGGCAGGACGACGGGUUCUGGCCCCGUUAAUCCAGGUUCGAAUCCUGGUCCCUCAGCCA
rnacentral:tRNA from 1 species